rfam:Stegodyphus mimosarum contig109606, whole genome shotgun sequence.
GCCUUCGUGGUGUAAUGGUCAGCACACGGAGCCGGUAUUCAGAGGUCCGUGGUUCGAUUCCCGGCGAAGGAA